rnacentral:rRNA from 1 species
GCCGCGUGAACGAUGAAGGUCUUCGGAUCGUAAAGUCUGUUGUCAGGCAAGAACAAGUGCGUGCGAAUAGAGCGGCACCUUGACGGUACCUGACGAGGAAGCCCCGGCUAACUACGUGCCAGCAGCCGCGGUAAUACGUAGGGGGCAAGCGUUGUCCGGAAUUAUUGGGCGUAAAGCGCGCGCAGGCGGUUCCUUAAGUCUGAUGUGAAAGCCCACGGCUCAACCGUGGAGGGUCAUUGGAAACUGGGGAACUUGAGUGCAGAAGAGGAGAGUGGAAUUCCACGUGUAGCGGUGAAAUGCGUAGAUAUGUGGAGGAACACCAGUGGCGAAGGCGACUCUCUGGUCUGUAACUGACGCUGAGGCGCGAAAGCGUGGGGAGCAAACAGGAUUAGAUACCCUGGUAGUCCACGCCGUAAACGAUGAGUGCUAGGUGUUAGGGGGCUUCCACCCCUUAGUGCUGAAGUUAACGCAUUAAGCACUCCGGCUGCGGAGUACGGCCGCCAGGCUGAACCUCCACGGAAUUGACGGAGGCCCGCACAAGCGGUGGAGCAUGUGGGUUAUUCGAAGCAACGCGAAGAACCUUACCAGGUCUUGACAU